UACGUAGGGUGCAAGCGUUAAUCGGAAUUACUGGGCGUAAAGCGUGCGCAGGCGGUUGGGCAAGACAGAGGUGAAAUCCCCGGGCUUAACCUGGGAAUGGCCUUUGUGACUGCACGGCUAGAGUGUGUCAGAGGGGGGUAGAAUUCCACGUGUAGCAGUGAAAUGCGUAGAGAUGUGGAGGAAUACCGAUGGCGAAGGCAGCCCCCUGGGAUAACACUGACGCUCAGGCACGAAAGCGUGGGGAGCAAACAGG
rnacentral:rRNA from 1 species